CCUACGGGAGGCAGCAGUGAGGAAUAUUGGUCAAUGGACGAGAGUCUGAACCAGCCAAGUAGCGUGAAGGAUGACUGCCCUAUGGGUUGUAAACUUCUUUUAUAUGGGAAUAAAAUGUUCCACGUGUGGGAUUUUGUAUGUACCAUAUGAAUAAGGAUCGGCUAACUCCGUGCCAGCAGCCGCGGUAAUACGGAGGAUCCGAGCGUUAUCCGGAUUUAUUGGGUUUAAAGGGAGCGUAGGUGGAUUGUUAAGUCAGUUGUGAAAGUUUGCGGCUCAACCGUAAAAUUGCAGUUGAAACUGGCAGUCUUGAGUACAGUAGAGGUGGGCGGAAUUCGAGGUGUAGCGGUGAAAUGCUUAGAUAUCACGAAGAACUCCGAUUGCGAAGGCAGUUCACUGGACUGUAACUGACACUGAGGCUCGAAAGUGUGGGUAUCAAACAGGAUUAGAUACCCUAGUAGUC
rnacentral:rRNA from 1 species